GACGAACGCUGGCGGCGUGCUUAACACAUGCAAGUCGAACGCGCCUGUCCUCUGGGUUUCUGGGGGGUGGGUGAGUGGCGAACGGGUGAGUAACACGUGAGUAACCUGCCCCCUUCUUCGGGAUAACGGUCUGAAAGGGCUGCUAAUACCGGGUAUUCACUGGUCUCCGCAUGGGGUCUGGUGGAAAGGUUUUUUUCUGGUGGGGGAUGGGCUCGCGGCCUAUCAGCUUGUUGGUGGGGUGAUGGCCCACCAAGGCUUUGACGGGUAGCCGGCCUGAGAGGGUGACCGGUCACAUUGGGACUGAGAUACGGCCCAGACUGCUACGGGAGGCAGCGGUGGGGAGUAUUGCACAAUGGGCGCAAGCCUGAUGCAGCGACGCCGCGUGAGGGAUGGAGGCCUUCGGGUUGUGAACCUCUUUCGCCCGUGGUCAAGCCGCGACGUGGGUCGUGGUGAGGGUAGUGGGUAAAGAAGCGCCGGCUAACUACGUG
rnacentral:rRNA from 1 species